GACAGAGGAUGCAAGCGUUAUCCGGAAUGAUUGGGCGUAAAGCGUCUGUAGGUGGCUUUUCAAGUCCGCCGUCAAAUCCCAGGGCUCAACCCUGGACAGGCGGUGGAAACUACCAAGCUGGAGUACGGUAGGGGCAGAGGGAAUUUCCGGUGGAGCGGUGAAAUGCGCAGAUAUCGGGAAGAACACCCGUGGCGAAGGCGGCUCUCUGGGACGGUACUGACGCUGAGACGCGAAAGCCAGGGGAGCAAACGGG
rnacentral:rRNA from 1 species